AGCGUUAUCCGGAAUUAUUGGGCGUAAAGGGUGCGUAGGCGGGUUAUCAAGUCUUUGGUUAAAAUGCGGUGCUCAACGCCGUAGUGCCAAAGAAACUGAUAGUCUAGAGUAUGGUAGAAGUGAGUGGAACUCCAUGUGUAGCGGUAAAAUGCGUAAAUAUAUGGAAGAACACCAGUGGCGAAGGCGGCUCACUAGGCCAAUACUGACGCUGAGACACGAAAGCGUGGGGAGCAAACAGGAUUAGAUACCCUGGUAGUCCACGCCCUAAACGAUGAGUACUAAGUGUAGCCAGAAGGCUGUGCUGAAGUUAACGCAUUAAGUACUCCGCCUGAGUAGUACGUACGCAAGUAUGAAACUUAAAGGAAUUGACGGGAUCCCGCACAAGCGGUGGAGCAUGUUGUUUAAUUCGACGAUACGCGAAGAACCUUACCAGGUCUUGACAUACUCGGCAAAUCUAUAGAGAUAUAGAGGAGGUUAACCGGGAUACAGGUGGUGCAUGGUUGUCGUCAGCUCGUGUCGUGAGAUGUUAGGUUAAGUCCUGCAACGAGCGCAACCCUUAUUGCUAGUUACCAUCAUUAAGUUGGGGACUCUAGCGAGACUGCCGGUGAUAAACCGGAGGAAGGCGGGGAUGACGUCAAAUCAUCAUGCCCUUUAUGACCUGGGCUACAAACGUGCUACAAUGGCUGACACAAAGAGAAGCGAGCUCGCGAGAGUAAGCAAACCUCAGAAAAGCAGUCUCAGUUCGGAUUGAAGUCUGCAACUC
rnacentral:rRNA from 1 species